rnacentral:rRNA from 1 species
ACGCUGGCGGCGUGCCUAAUAUAUGCAAGUAGAACGCUGAAGCUUGGUGCUUGCACCGAGCGGAUGAGUUGCGAACGGGUGAGUAACGCGUAGGUAACCUGCCUGGUAGCGGGGGAUAACUAUUGGAAACGAUAGCUAAUACCGCAUAACAGUCGACAUUGCAUGAUGUUGAUUUGAAAGGGGCAAUUGCUCCACUACCAGAUGGACCUGCGUUGUAUUAGCUAGUUGGUGAGGUAACGGCUCACCAAGGCGACGAUACAUAGCCGACCUGAGAGGGUGAUCGGCCACACUGGGACUGAGACACGGCCCAGACUCCUACGGGAGGCAGCAGUAGGGAAUCUUCGGCAAUGGACGGAAGUCUGACCGAGCAACGCCGCGUGAGUGAAGAAGGUUUUCGGAUCGUAAAGCUCUGUUGUAAGAGAAGAACGAGUGUGAGAGUGGAAAGUUCACACUGUGACGGUAACUUACCAGAAAGGGACGGCUAACUACGUGCCAGCAGCCGCGGUAAUACGUAGGUCCCGAGCGUUAUCCGGAUUUAUUGGGCGUAAAGCGAGCGCAGGCGGUUAGAUAAGUCUGAAGUUAAAGGCUGUGGCUUAACCAUAGUACGCUUUGGAAACUGUUUAACUAGAGUGCAGAAGGGGAGAGUGGAAUUCCAUGUGUAGCGGUGAAAUGCGUAGAUAUAUGGAGGAACACCGGUGGCGAAAGCGGCUCUCUGGUCUGUAACUGACGCUGAGGCUCGAAAGCGUGGGGAGCGAACAGGAUUAGAUACCCUGGUAGUCCACGCCGUAAACGAUGAGUGCUAGGUGUUGGGUCCUUUCCGGGACUCAGUGCCGCAGCUAACGCAUUAAGCACUCCGCCUGGGGAGUACGACCGCAAGGUUGAAACUCAAAGGAAUUGACGGGGGCCCGCACAAGCGGUGG